rnacentral:rRNA from 1 species
UACGAGGGGGGCGAGCGUUGUUCGGAAUUAUUGGGCGUAAAGGGUGCGUAGGCGGUUCCGCAAGUCCUGUGUGAAAUCUUCGGGCUCAACUCGAAGUCUGCACGGGAAACUGCGGGGCUUGAGUGUGGGAGAGGUGAGUGGAAUUCCUGGUGUAGCGGUGAAAUGCGCAGAUAUCAGGAGGAACACCAAUGGCGAAGGCAGCUCGCUGGGACGGUACUGACACUGAGACGCGAAAGCGUGGGGAGCAAACAGG